rnacentral:hammerhead_ribozyme from 1 species
AUCCAGUUGACGAGUCCUAAAUUAGACUGAACGCGAGUCAUGGAU